rnacentral:rRNA from 1 species
CCUACGGGCGGCAGCAGUGGGGAAUAUUGGACAAUGGGCGAAAGCCUGAUCCAGCCAUGCCGCGUGUGUGAAGAAGGCCUUCGGGUUGUAAAGCACUUUCAGUGGGGAAGAAAGCCUUGGGGCUAAUACCCUCGAGGAAGGACAUCACCCACAGAAGAAGCACCGGCUAACUCCGUGCCAGCAGCCGCGGUAAUACGGAGGGUGCGAGCGUUAAUCGGAAUUACUGGGCGUAAAGCGCGCGUAGGCGGUCUGAUAAGCCGGUUGUGAAAGCCCCGGGCUCAACCUGGGAACGGCAUCCGGAACUGUCAGGCUAGAGUGCAGGAGAGGAAGGUAGAAUUCCCGGUGUAGCGGUGAAAUGCGUAGAGAUCGGGAGGAAUACCAGUGGCGAAGGCGGCCUUCUGGACUGACACUGACGCUGAGGUGCGAAAGCGUGGGUAGCAAACAGGAUUAGAUACCCGGUAGUC